rnacentral:lncRNA from 1 species
AACAUCAGAGCUGGAACGCACAGCGGACAUUUCCCCCUACUCCAGCCUUUCCGUUUCACAAAUGGGGACACUAAGGCUCCGAGAAGUAGGUUCAUCCUUCCAAACGUGCACAGCUGGUUGGAGACAGAUGAAGACGAGGAUUUCUGGCUUCAAACCAGAGUGCUUUCCAUCUCACCUCUAACCCCAGUGCUCUUGUGGCUUGGGGACCCUGCUGCUUGGCUCCGGUGGUGGGGUGUGCAGUAGAACCAAACACUGGCUUUGGGCCUCCUAGAGGACGCCAGUGGGACACCUGCUCCUCCGCACGGCUCACAGCCUGACCCCAGGACCUGCAGCGAUGGCCAGGAGGUGUGAACUGCCAAAGCCACAAAUAUGCCUCCUUAACAGGGGGUUGGAACGGCUUUUCUCGUCCAGAGAACCCGAGUUGGCUGUCCUGAAACCAGUCUUGGACCAGCAGCUGGUCGUUCUUCACAGUUACCCAAGCCCUGCAUGAAGCUUUUCGCAGCCAAGACAAGAGCAGAAGGCACGGAGCCCGAACCCGUGGGAACCCGUUUUUGCGCACUGGAAGACCGAGUACGAAGGCAGCUCAGACUGAGAAGACCCGGCCUCAGGGAUCCCCACCGGCUGGUUAGAGGAGUCUGGGAUCCUUCCCCUCUGAUUGUACUCAGAGCUAGAGCGGUAGAAGCAACAGCUCUGCCCCCUGGUGGACAUGGGAGGCACAGCGCCCUUCUCCAACUCAGAAGCCCCACCGUGGUGCUGCUGCAGGAGAGGAAGGAAGCCCUCUUGGUUCCCUCUGAUAGAGCAAAAUUUGGCACAGGAAAAAUAAUCCCUUUCUGGCUUAAUUCUGAUGAUCUGGUCAGUUUGGAUGCAGAAAAGAUUUGUAUUGUUUCUCUUGCCUGGACUCUGCUGUUCCUUCGUGCUAUCCAAACCCCUACCCCUUUUCUAACCCCUGUUUCAAGUUCUGCCUCCUUCAUAACAACUUUUCUGACUCUCCUCGCCUAUAUGUCUUCUAAAUACAGCGGUGCACAGACCCAGCAUGCAGAGUGCACAUUUACAUAUGUCUUCAGUGUUGUUUCCUUGAGGGUGGGAAGCAGGUUUUGUGUCUUCGUGUUCGUAGACUCCAUGUUGCACAGCACAGGGCUGGGGACAGAAACUGCUCUCAGUAAGCUCUUGCUGAUUAAUUGAUACAUUAAUUAAUUAAUCUCUGCAAACACAAACUCUAAGCCUUUGCUUCGACAGACCUUCCAGAACUGUCAGAUCUUUGGGGGACUCUAGAUAGUGGCCUAACCAAAUAUCGCCUUGCACAAUGAGUAGUUCCACAAAACCAGUUUCACAAGAGAACACCACCAAGACCCAGAGAGGGAUGAGGAAGUUCGAAGCAGACACUCAGGGAGAGACUCGGAGGGAAGCGGGUGGCCAUGUGGAAAGGCCGAAGGACAAAGAAUUUGGAGGGAGAGGCCUCUGCUCCUGGGCUCAGAGAGGCAGCCCAAGAAUUGAUCAGCCCGGGCCACCUGCUGUGUGGCUUUAGGCAAGCUUACUCCCUCUCUGGGUGUCAGUUCCUCAUCUGUAUAAAUAAGUACCCAUCUCCGAGCAAUAGGAGGAGGAUAAAUUGAGUUGCUAUUUGCCAAGUGCCGGGCACAUAAGUACUAUAUGACGGUUUGUAAAUGAAUUUUCCAGCUCAGGUGUCUUGAAAAUGGGAUAGGAUACGAUCUCUAAGUUGGUUCCCUUCGCACCAGCCUUCCAGGACAGCACAUGAACUUUGGGGUCAGGCAGGCCUGAGUUGCCUCUUGUCUCUGUGAGCAGUUGUGUGACUUUGGGAAAAUUGCUUUAUUUCUUGGAGCCUCGGUGUUCUCAUCUGUGACAUGAGGAUGAUUGUGUCCACCUCAAAAGACGGGUGUGUGCGCUGCACGCUUGGACAGUAUGUGGCAUAGAGGAGCUUUAUAAACAGAAGUGGUGGUUAUUGCAGAUCAGAGGAGCCAUACAUGGAGGAGAAGAGGGUCUCCAAAAUCUAGGACGUUUUGAGAAAGAGAACAUAUAGGCCAGCUCAGCCCCGGAGCCUGAGGUUUGCGGCAGGCGGGGGAGGCCCUGGGUCUGGGCCAUGACUGGAUAUCACAGGCGCUGAAGAAACCCAGAACGGUUUGACUUGCACAUCAGCUCUAGGAACAUUUUCUGCCCGAGGCCUGUGCUGAGGGUGUGGACGCGGUGGGGCGAGGUGCCAGCUAUAGGCCCUUCUGCUCUCCUUCCCAGGAGAGAGGACGGUAGUAAGACAGGGCGUGGGCAGGGUGGGCCUCGGAAACCUGUCGUCGUGGAGCGCGCGUGUGUGGGAAUGGCCCAGAGACAUCCUGCCCGGUGACCCGGACUUCCAGGACCGGUGCGGCCCUCCCUCGCGGCAGAACCUGCCCGCACAGCUGCCAUUCCCGAACCUGUCCCAGGACACCCGGACUGACUGCCAGCAAUUCUCCAAGGGCCGUGGGAAGGAGGGUGAUGGUAGUCCUGAAGCCAAAUUAACCUUACUUCCCUUCAGCUGCAGGUGUGGAAAAGCACUAAAUGGGAUAUGCAAAUGCUGUUUGUAUUCUUUUUGAAGUGGGGGGGGGUUUGCAAAAUCCCAACCAUGAUGGGGUGUUGCAAUCCCAAGCACGCUGGGAAUCACUCUUAUUAUGGUCCUCAUGCUGGUCGGCGCUUGUGCCCUGCGACCCACAAGGGUCUGUGUGCUCCCCGAUGGUGGGGUCUGUUCGAAGAGAGUCACUCUUCUGGGAUCCCAGACACAGUCUGAGACCUGGACAGAUGCACCUUAGGGGCUGUUUAGGGAUCACAUAGGAAUCUGUAAGCCUCAUUCCAUACUCCUAUUUCUCGUGCUAGGUUGGGCUAACAUCUAGCGCAGAACUCAAAGGAAAAAAUUAUAUGUAAAAAACCCAAACAAACAGGACCUAUCAAGAGUCACGAAGUUGCCAGUAUUAGUUGUCUGUGGGGGAAGAGGGAAUGUGUUUUUCUUCUUUUGCUUGUUUGUGCAUUCUUGUACUUGUUUUACUUGUUUUUGGCAAAUACCUAUUGCUUUUGUAAGAAGAAGAGAUGUUUUUUAAAUGUUCCCAGCAGAGCAAUUUGGUUUUUUUUUUUUUUAAAUAGAUAAUAAAUGGGAAGGUUCAAACCACCCUCUGAUUUUUUGUUGUUGUUGCUGUUCCUCUCUUUCCAAAAGAAAGAGAUGCUCCUGGUGUGAAACCUUUUGACAAUUCAAUCAAAAUAAAGAAAAAAAAAUCACCUGUAAUCUCAUCACAGAGAUAAUGACUGUCAUUACUUUUGAUUCUACCUUUCCUGUUCACUUUAGUUUUCUAGUCUUUAGUUUUUAUGCUGUGGUUUUUAUGAAAAUAGGACCAUGCUGUAAUAACGUGGUGUAAUCUGCUUUUUCUACACCAGAGAUCAUGAACAUAUUUUUCUGCGUGAUCGGAUUUAAUCGCCAGUUACAUAGAAUUCUGGUUAUAAACAUCCAACAAUUUAACCAAUUCUGCAUUGUUGAAAUAGAACCUCUGGGCGGUUUCUACAUUUUUUGCUGUUAUAGACAAGGCUGCAAAUAUCUUCGCAACUCAUCUUUUGUGCGCAUCCAAGAUUAUUUCUUUUGGGGGUGGGCCGAGGGGGUGCUCCUUCUCAAGGCUUUUGAAAUGCCGUUGAGCCUCACACGGUAGACUGCGCAGGCCCCGUCACAAAGGGGAAGGUCAUAUCAGCUCACCCCGUCUUGAGCUGUGUAAUUGUAAAAAUUAUUUACCUUUUCGGCCCUUCAAUUUUUUCAACUAUAAACCGGAACCAUAGCAGCUAACAUAGUUAAGACGGUUGCCAGGACUGGCUCUAAAAAACGUGUCCCCACUAGGCUGAAAGCUCUAGGAAGGUAGGAACAGGGUCUGUUUUUUGC